CUCAUUUUAGUAAGUUCUUGCAAUGUUCUCCGCCUGUAAAACAUUUGUUCUUCUAGUGUUCCCUGAUUACUUCUAUCUAUACUCAUCAUUUUUGGUAAGGUUACUUGUGUUGAGUCCCUGCACAUAUAUAAAACAAAUAAUAAUAUAUACAAUCUUGAAUCAACAUGAGUCACUAUUCAUGAGUGGGAAUUUUUAAUUGGUAGUGUUUCAUACCUUUCAAGAAGUUCUUGUGCUUCUGGUAUGUCCAGAUCUAUAUAUAUUCUUGUCGCACUGGUUGACUUUAGGCACAAACCUAUUUAAUUAACCAAUUAGAAUUUUUGAAUGAUAAGAGCAGCAUCUAAGAUUUAUGGACUUACCAUUGAAUCUCUGCACCAUCGUUGAUGUAAUAAUAAUGACAGUUUGGCUGCCAAUUACAUCCUCGGUCAAAAAGUAAGCAAACUUUCCCCAUAACGUGAUUAUGAUUUUAUCACCCCUAAAGAAUUUAAUUCGAGAAGUUAGUGUUAACCACAUGGGGCAUGCGUAGUUAAAUUUCAGACAUACAUAUGCAUAUGCACUUACUCUGGCAUUAGUAUUUCAAUCUCGCGGAUAUAUGAAGGUUGUGGGCUCUUUUUUGUUAUUCUUGUCUCCACGGGCUUCAUUUUUGUUAGAAGUCCAAUGACAUCUGUAUAUUUGGAAAUUAGUAAUAUAACAAUUAGAAAUAUCUAUUAUUUGGAAGCCGUAAUUACAACUAUAAACAUACCUGAGCAUUGUGUAUCUUUUCCUGCCCUUUCUUCGAGUGUCUCCAUGGUAGCAAACUCGAAGCAAUAGUCCAAAAAAACUUCUGAAGAUCCUUUUAUCUCCUUUACCUUUGUAUUGUAUGCAAAAAAUAUUUUAAUUUCAUUGCUCACUGGCCUAUAUUUUGUGGAUUCCACAACCUUAAAAUUGCUGAAUCCGUAAAUAGACUUCUCAUUGAUCUUUGAUCUAAAAGUAUCUAUUAGAUUCUUCCAGAUAGAAGCAUGAAUUGUUUCACCCUGUAAAAACAAUCAAUUAUGGUUAGUAACUGUUGCUUAAUCUGAAAAAAAUCCAAUUAACUAUAUUGAAAAACAGACCUGCUCAUCCAUGAGUAUCAUAUCUAGGCUAAUAAGCUCAUCGGUAGUAGGAUUAACUGAAUCCCAAAUCCUCAUUACUUUCACUUGAAUGUUCCAGUUUUGUCCCCUUGUAGUUAAUUCGCUCAACUUUGUGUAUGCCAUAGUCUUAUGUCUUCAAAAUUAAUAGGAAAAAAUUAGUCAAUGGAUAUAGUAUUUAUGAAGAUCCUAUCCAUAAAAAAGGUUGUUAAAUAACAAUUACCAAGUCUGGUAAUUCAGCCCAGAAGUUCUUUGUCGUCACUUCUUCCGACGUCGAUUGGAGCAGCUGGGCGUGGCUUUGUCGGGUGUCGGCGGGCUUUGGCGUGACUUCCACCAACGUCAAGUGAAGCGGUUGGAGAUGACUUGUCGACUUCAAGCUGUGCGGACGGCGAGGCGUGUGUUCCGUCUGGCGUGUUUCAAGAUGUGGUGGUCAUCGAUUUCUAAUUGUUUGCUGCGUGCUUGUGUGGCCGGCUGCACUUAUUUAUAUGGGUUGAGGUGGCUGGGUUGACGUGGCGGAGACCGUGUGGAGAUCUUGUACGUAUUCGUUCCUGUCUUGGAACUUUCAUCACGUGAGGUCUGGUGGGUUUCCUUAUUUGAUUAGGUUUCUUAUUUAAGUAGGUUUGACUACUAUUUUUGCUCCUUGACCCAUUGAUGGAAAUAUUCUAUUUUUGUUUUUGCGGCUUAACAUGUCAGGCUAGUUGAUGUCACGACGGACACACUAUAUUUGUACAUGACGUGUUGUACUACUUGUACAUGUGAAUAUUUUUACGUAAUAUGUGAACAUGGAUGUGUAGGUCCGUUCUAUGCAGGUACACGUGACAACACAACUUAUCUUGUUUACGCGUUUAUAUUAAAUCAAGGCCGUUAAUAUUACAAUCUAAUGGAUU
rnacentral:lncRNA from 1 species